rnacentral:misc_RNA from 1 species
UCUCCGUUGGUGAACCAGCGGAGGGAUCAUUACAGAGUUGCAAAACUCCCAACCAUUGUGAACCUACCUCACCGUUGCUUCGGCGGGUGGCCCGCUAACCCGGCGCCGCGCCGGCACCCACCUUCGGGGGGUGCCGGCAACCCGUCAGAGGACCGAAACACUUAGUCAUCUUGGCCUCUCUGAGUAACUUAUACAAUAAGUCAAAACUUUCAACAACGGAUCUCUUGGUUCUG